rnacentral:rRNA from 1 species
CUAACCCCAUGCCAGUCGGGAUCACCUAUUGAAUUUAAGCAUAUCAAUAAGCGG